AGUGAACGCUGGCGGUAUGCCUAACACAUGCAAGUCGAACGGCAGCACAGUUAGAGCUUGCUCUUACGGGUGGCGAGUGGCGGACGGGUGAGGAAUACAUCGUAAUCUACUUUUUCGUGGGGGACAACGUAGGUAAACUUACGCUAAUACCGCAUACGACCUACGGUUGAAAUCAGGAGAUCUUCUGAGCUUGGGCGAUUGAAUGAGCCGAUGUCGGAUUAGCUAGUUGGCGGGGUAAAGGCCCACCAAGGCGACGAUCCGUAGCUGGUCUGAGAGGAUGAUCACCGACCCUGGAACUGGGACACGGACCAGGCUACUACGGGAGGCAGCAGUGGGGAAUAUUGGACAAAGGGCGGAAGCCUGAUCCAGCCAUAGCGCGUGGGUGAAGAAGACCUUCGGGUUGUAAAGACGUUUUGUGGGGAGAGAAAAGCAGCAGGUUAAUACCACGCUGUUGUGACGGUACCCAAAGAAUAAGCACCGGCUAACUACGUG
rnacentral:rRNA from 1 species